GACGAACGCUGGCGGCGUGCCUAAUACAUGCAAGUAGAACGCUGAAGGAGGAGCUUGCUUCUCUGGAUGAGUUGCGAACGGGUGAGUAACGCGUAGGUAACCUGCCUGGUAGCGGGGGAUAACUAUUGGAAACGAUAGCUAAUACCGCAUAAGAGUAGAUGUUGCAUGACAUUUGCUUAAAAGGUGCAAUUGCAUCACUACCAGAUGGACCUGCGUUGUAUUAGCUAGUUGGUGAGGUAACGGCUCACCAAGGCAACGAUACAUAGCCGACCUGAGAGGGUGAUCGGCCACACUGGGACUGAGACACGGCCCAGACUCCUACGGGAGGCAGCAGUAGGGAAUCUUCGGCAAUGGACGGAAGUCUGACCGAGCAACGCCGCGUGAGUGAAGAAGGUUUUCGGAUCGUAAAGCUCUGUUGUAAGAGAAGAACGAGUGCGAGAGUGGAAAGUUCACACUGUGACGGUAUCUUACCAGAAAGGGACGGCUAACUACGUG
rnacentral:rRNA from 1 species